AUAAUUUACAGACGCCAGUGCAAAACAAAAAAUACAGGGCUCCUUGCUAAAAAUUCAUUAAGAAUUAUUUUUUCAGGAUGGCAAUAAAAGAGCACUAAACCAAGCAUGGGGCCCAGUGCAGCUGCACAGAGGAUGCAUGCCCAUCAAGACAACUCUUGACACCAAGCUAAACAGUGUCUCACGGUUCAAACCCAGCUGUCCCCUCCAAGGAAAAGGUCAGAAGUGCAGGCCCUCCCAUUUUUCCCAAAAGAAAGGGGAAUAUACCCUUUGAGGAAUCUUCUCUCAUUGUCUUCUGGAGGGGGGUGAAUCCGCUGCCCCCCCCAACACACACACACACACACACACACACACACACACACACACACACACACGCCCCAGCUCCCAGAGCUACUUUGCAAUCCCCUGCCCACCAUAGAGAGAGCACGGCCCUGUCCCUCAUGCCUCUCCUCUCUUUUACCCUCUGCAGAGCUGAGCAAGGAGCACCACCAGCUGGCCAUGUCCCUGGAGAAAGAGUUGCUUCCCCAACAGGCAGAGCUGGUGGUGACCAUCCUGGACCCAAUUCUUCCCAGGCAGGGGGAGGCAGUCUUCACCUCAGGCUGUGCAAAGGCUUUUACAGUGAGGAGCUGAAGGGAUACGGGUGUGUAUGUACGCUGCUCCAGAAGCAGCAGAGACGCUGAACAGGAGACAACAGGAACCAAGUGAUCUCGC
rnacentral:lncRNA from 1 species